AGUGAACGCUGGCGGCGUGCCUAAUAUAUGCAAGUCGAACGAAGUGGCGCACGGGUGAGUAAUAUAUAGUUAAUCUGCCCUACACAGAGGAACAACAGUUGGAAACAACUGCUAAUACCUCAUAGUGUAGGAUUAGACUAUAUCGUAUCAGCUAGUUGGUAAGGUAAUGGCUUACCAAGGCUAGAACGCGUAACUGGUCUGAGAGGAUGAUCAGUCAGAUUGGAGCUGAGACACGGUCCAGACUCCUACGGGAUGCAACAGUAAGGAAUAUUGCGCGAUGGGGGAAGCCCUGACGCAGCAACGCCGCGUGGAGGAUGACACUUUUCGGAGGGUAAACUCCUUUUAUCAGGAAAGCGGUACCUGAUGAAUAAGCACGGGCUAUGUCCGUGCCAGCCGCCGCGGUAAUUC
rnacentral:rRNA from 1 species